GUGCUCACUCUGGUGGCACAUAUAUUAAAAUUGGAAUGAUACAGAGAAGGUCAGCAUGGCCUCUGCCUAAGGAUGAUGUGCAAAUUUGUGAAACAUUCCAUAUCUUU